rnacentral:tRNA from 1 species
GAUGGUAUAGCUCAAGUGGUAGAGCACAUGCUUAGCCUACAUGAGGUCCUGGGUUCAAUCCCCAGUAUUUCCU